CAGCAUAGUACUCCACAUUUCUAAUGUAGCUGUUUUAUGCUGAUAUAUGAGUGGAUAUUAAUAUUCAGCUCUGACAUUCCUUAACAACUCUUUAUAAGAGCUGGAGCCCAAGAGGUGCGACCAGCUGUUGUAUUGCAGGGUAUGUCCUAUCGGAAACUCAUUCGCAACAGUUUAUUCUCCCCCACAAUCUCAGCUAACCGCUCCAUGGAUAUGAUACUCUGCUUAGAAAGGACAAAAGGAAAUAAAUGUUUAUCCCUCAAAGCCGCUUCUAGCGAACCGAAUGCCCAACCUUCCGGAUUUUUCCUGAAGUGAGACAUGACAGUGUAUAUCUUCAAAAAUGAACAACUGAAUGAACAAGUCCCUCCUUGCCUUAAAUUAAAGUAGGUGAGGAAAAUUAUGGCAGCUGAGAUAGAAACAAACUUGUAAAUACUUUCCAGUAAGCUCAGAUGAGUACCUCACCCACUUCUUACUAUGCAGGGAAGCUUAGGUUAUCAGAGGUAGAACAUGAGAUAGGCUGAAAUUCUUCCUUAUUCAUAGCUGGAAAAAAACCCACUACCCAUAGGAUUAAAAAAAAGACUGAAAUGAUAAAAUUCAUCUGCGAAGCAGAGCUUAUGACAUGAGUUGCACAACCAGCCUGCAACUGCUGCUAUGGAUUUGCGUAUUAAAUGAUAUAUAGCAACUUCCAAAGGGAGAUUUCCAUUUAGUGAUGUACACAAACCACUGGCUAUAUUUUUGCCCAAUUCACUAUUCUAACAUGUUCUCAUGCAGCUUCGCAGCUUCACAGGAUGCUUCUAAUCUUCACAAAAGACAACCCUGAUGUCUUCACCAAGACACACCAGUAAUCAGGGAUUUCUCGUCAGAAGGUUUGUAAGGAUCUGGAGAAUCCGAAGCUAAAUAAUAAUAUUUCUGCAAUGAGCGGAGAAGGGGAAGGGUACUGAGCGUCUCGGGGAAAGAACUGAGGAACGGAAUGGUUUCCAUAUUCUUACAUGACUGGGCUAUGUCAUGCAUAAAUUUUCCUGCCAUAAAAAUUGCUUCUUUUCAUUACAAAAAUUAUCAGGUGAGA
rnacentral:lncRNA from 1 species